UACGUAGGUGGCAAGCGUUACUCGGAAUCACUAGGCGUAAAGCGCAGGUAGGUGGCUAGAUAAGUUUCUUGUGAAAGCUCCCGGCUUAACUGGGAGAGGCCAAGGAAUACUGUCUGGCUUGAGUAUGGUAGGGGUAACUGGAAUUCCCGGUGUAGCGGUGAAAUGCGCAGAUAUCAGGAGGAACACCUAUUGCGAAGGCAGCUCGCUGGGACGUAACUGACGCUGAGACGCGAAAGCGUGGGGAGCAAACAGG
rnacentral:rRNA from 1 species